GGGGCAUUAGCUCAGUUGAUUAGAGCGCAUCGCUGGCAGCGAUGAGGUCAUGAGUUUGAGUCUCAUAUGCUCCACCA
rnacentral:tRNA from 1 species